rnacentral:misc_RNA from 1 species
AAGUCGUAACAAGGUCUCCGUAGGUGAACCUGCGGAGGGAUCAUUACUGAGUGAGGGCCUUCGGGCUCGACCUCCAACCCUUUGUGAACCAAACUUGUUGCUUCGGGGGCGACCCUGCCGGCAUUCGUCAGCGGGCGCCCCCGGAGGCCAUCAAACACUGCAUCUAUGCGUCGGAGUUUAAAUUCAAUUAAACAAAACUUUCAACAACGGAUCUCUUGGUUCUG